rnacentral:rRNA from 1 species
GGGGAGUACGGCCGCAAGGUUAAAACUCAAAUGAAUUGACGGGGGCCCGCACAAGCGGUGGAGCAUGUGGUUUAAUUCGAUGCAACGCGAAGAACCUUACCUGGUCUUGACAUCCACAGAACUUAGCAGAGAUGCUUUGGUGCCUUCGGGAACUGUGAGACAGGUGCUGCAUGGCUGUCGUCAGCUCGUGUUGUGAAAUGUUGGGUUAAGUCCCGCAACGAGCGCAACCCUUAUCCUUUGUUGCCAGCGGU